rnacentral:rRNA from 1 species
UACGAAGGGGGCUAGCGUUGCUCGGAAUCACUGGGCGUAAAGCGCACGUAGGCGGCUUUCUAAGUCAGGGGUGAAAUCCUGGAGCUCAACUCCAGAACUGCCUUUGAUACUGGAGAGCUAGAGUCCGGAAGAGGUGAGUGGAACUGCGAGUGUAGAGGUGAAAUUCGUAGAUAUUCGCAAGAACACCAGUGGCGAAGGCGGACUCACUGGUCCGGUACUGACGCUGAGGUGCGAAAGCGUGGGGAGCAAACAGG